GAGUUCAGGGGCUUGUGAAAUUAGGUAACACUGCCCCCUAGAGAUCAGUGUGAUGCAAUGUGCCUGCACCAAUUCCCAGAGUCUAUGUCAUAGACUUUAUGACAGAGGUUGUUUGUUUGGUUUUUUUUUUUCUUUUUUGUUUUUUGUUUUUUGUUUUUUUUUGCGAUAAGGUCUCACUCUAUAUCCCUUCCUGCUGUGGUAUUAGUCACUGACUAUACCAGGCUAGCCUCCAACCCAUGGAGACCCACCAGACUCUGCCUCUCAACUGGUGGGACUAAAGAUGUGGGCCACCAUGCCCAGCCUAUGAAGUCAUUUUUAAUGUGGAGGUUUUCUGUACUGUGGAGUAGGAACCAGACGUAUCUAUGGUGUAUAUGGAGGCCAGAGGGUCUGUGAUACUGGCUAAAAAUUAAGGAUACUUUCUCCCUCACACCCAGUUGGCUGCCUGUUCACUUUGGAUCUGACCUUCAUACAGGCUCAAAUGGCUUUUCUCCUCACCCCACCUUCCUCCAGCAGGCAGUUAAUGGGGUUUGCAGCUUGCCUACCUUGGGUUUUUUUUCUUUUAAAUUAUAAUUAAAUUGUCCUUGA